UACGGGGGGGGCAAGCGUUGUUCGGAAUUACUGGGCGUAAAGGGCUCGUAGGCGGCUCGGAAAGUCGGUCGUGAAAUGCCGGGGCUCAACCCCGGGACUGCGUCCGAUACUCCCGAGCUGGAGGCAGGUAGGGGAGAUCGGAAUUCCUGGUGUAGCGGUGAAAUGCGCAGAUAUCAGGAGGAACACCGGUGGCGAAGGCGGAUCUCUGGGCCUUGCCUGACGCUGAGGCGCGAAAGCUAGGGGAGCGAACAGG
rnacentral:rRNA from 1 species